rnacentral:ncRNA from 1 species
UGAAAAACGUUUGAGAGGGACAGACAUUGAUUCCUGAAAACAAUGAAAGCGACCCGGGGGCGGUGUAAGCCCGGGAUUGUUGGAAUCGUUGUGUAUCAGCCCUCAAGUUUCCUUUCUGAACCGUCCAGUAGGAAAGGACGUCCCAUCACGUUACGAUGUUUGAGCGGAUAAGCCGAAUCGGCUUGUCUAAAAGGGUGGUACCGCGAGAUCAAAGCCUUCUCGUCCCUUAU